rnacentral:tRNA from 1 species
GGAUGUGGCUCAGUGGUAGAGCAUUUGCUGGGCGUGCCUGAGGCCCUGGGUUCAAUCCCCAGCACCA